rnacentral:rRNA from 1 species
AUUGAACGCUGGCGGCAUGCUUUACACAUGCAAGUCGAACGGUAACAGGUUAAGCUGACGAGUGGCGAACGGGUGAGUAAUGCAUCGGAACGUGCCCGAUCGUGGGGGAUAACACUUCGAAAGAAGUGCUAAUACCGCAUACGAUCUGAGGAUGAAAGCGGGGGACCGUAAGGCCUCGCGCGAUCGGAGCGGCCGAUGUCAGAUUAGGUAGUUGGUGGGGUAAAGGCUCACCAAGCCGACGAUCUGUAGCUGGUCUGAGAGGACGACCAGCCACACUGGGACUGGGACACGGCCCAGACUCCUACGGGAGGCAGCAGUGGGGAAUUUUGGACAAGGGGCGCAAGCCUGAUCCAGCAAUGCCGCGUGCAGGAAGAAGGCCUUCGGGUUGUAAACUGCUUUUGUACGGAGCGAAAAGGCUCCCUCUAAUACAGGGGGCUCAUGACGGUACCGUAAGAAUAAGCACCGGCUAACUACGUGCCAGCCGCCGCAGUAA